rnacentral:sRNA from 1 species
UUUUAACCUCUUAUGGGAGGAAAUUGGUAUAAGUGUUGUCUAAACACUUCUUAUCCAUCUCUAAUUCUUAUAAUUAGUCAAUUGCAUUGGGUUGUGACACAUUUUGACCAUAGAAAUACUAACAAAUCUAGUGACUGUUUCUAAGCAAGUUUUGUUGGUUUUAGCCUCUUAUGGGAGAAAAUGGGUAUAAGUGUUAUCUAAACACUCCUAAUCCAUCUCUAACUCUAUAAUUAGUCAAAUGCAUUGGAUUGUGAAACAUUUUGACCAUAGAAACACUAACAAAUCUAUUGACCGCUUAUAAGCAAGUUUUGUUGGUUUUAGCCUCUUUUGGGAGGAAAUGGGUUAUAAGUGUUAUCUAAACACUUCUUGUCCAUCCCUAACUCUUAUAAUUAAUCAAUUGCAAAUUUUUGUUGGUUUUACCCUCUUUUGGGAGAAAAUGGGUAUAAUUGUUGUCUAAACACUCCUAAUCCAUAUCUAACUCUAUAAUUAGUCCAAUGCAUUAGAUUGUGAAACAUUUUGACCAUAAAAACACUAACAAAUCUAUUGACUGCUUCUAAGCAUAUGUUUGUUGGUUUAGCCACUUUUAGGAUAAAAUAGGUAUAAGUGUUGUCUAAACACUUCUAAUCCAUCUCUAACUCUUAUAAUUAGUUGAAUGCAUUGGAUUGUGAUACCUUUUGACCAAAAAACACUAACAAAGUUAUUUACUGCUUCUAAGCAAUAUUUUGUUGGUUAUAUCUUCUUUUGUGAGUAAAUGGGUAUAAGUGUUGUCUAAACACUCCUAAUCCAUCGCUAGCUCUUAUAAUUAGUCAAAUGAAUUGGAUUGUGACACAUUUUGACCAUAGAAACACUAACAAAUCUAUUGAGUUGUUCUAAGCAAGUUUUGUUGGUUUUAACCUCUUCUAGGAGGAAAUGGGUAUAAGUGUUGUCUAAACACUUCUUAUCCAUCUCUAACUCUUACAAUUAGUCAAUUGCAUUGGAUUGUGACACAUUUUGACAAUAGAAACACAAACAAAUCUACUGACUGCUUCUAAGCAAGUUUUGUUGGUUUGAGCCUCUUUUGGGAGAAAAUGGGUAUAAGUGUUAUCUAAAGACUCCUAAUCCAUCUCUAACUCUAUAAUUAGUCAAAUGCAUUGGAUUGUGAAACUUUUUGACCAUAUAAACACUAACAAAGCUAUUUAGUGCUUCUAAGCAAUAUUUUGUUGGUUAUAGCUUCUUUAGGGAGAAAAUGGGUAUAAUUAUUGUCUAAACACUCCUAACCCAUCUCUAACUCUAUAAUUAGUCCAAUGCAUUGGAUUCUGAAACAUUUUGACUAUAGAAAUACUAACAAAUCUAUUGAGUGCUUCUAAGCAAGUUUUGUUGGUUUUAGCCUCUUUUGGCCGAAAAUGGGUAUAAGUGUUAUCUAAACACUCCUAAUCCUUCUCUAACUCUUAUAAUUGGUCGAAUGCAUUGGAUUGUGAUACAUUUUGACCAUAUAAACACUAACAAAGCUAUUUAGUGCUUCUAAGCAAUAUUUUGGUUGUUAUAGCUUCUUUAGGGAGAAAAUGGGUAUAAUUAUUGUCUAAACACUCCUAAUCCAUCUCUAACUCUAUAAUUAGUCCAAUGCAUUGGAUUGUGAAACAUUUUGACUAUAGAAACACUAACAAAUCUAUUGACUGCUUUUAAGCAAAUUUUUUUGGUUUUAGCCUCUUUUGGGAGAAAAUAGGUAUAAGUGUUGUCUAAACACUCCUAAUCCAUCUCUAACUGUUAUAAUUAGUCAAAUGCAUUGGAUUGUGAUACAUUUUGACCAUAUAAACACUAACAAAGCUAUUUAGUGCUUCUAAGCAAUAUUUUGUUGGUUAUAGCUUCUUUUGGGAGAAAAUGGGUAUAACUGUUCUCUAAACACUCCUAAUCCAUCUCUUACUCUUAUAAUUAGUCAAAUGCAUUGGAUUGUGACAUAUUUUGACCAUAGAAACACUAACAAAUCUAUUGACCGCUUCUAAGCAAGUUUUCUUGGUUUUAGCCUCUUUUGGGAGGAAAUGGUUAUAAGUGUUGUCUAAACACUUCUUGUCCAUCCCUAACUCUUAUAAUUAUUCAAUUGCAUUGGAUUGUGACACAUUUUGACUAUAGAAACACUAACAAAUCUAUUGACUGCUUCUGAGCAAGUUUUGUUGGUUUUAGCCUCUUUUGGGAGAAAAUGGGUAUAAGUGUUGUCUAAACACUUCUUAUCCAUCUCUAACUCUUAUAAUUAGUCAAUUGCAUUGGAUUGUCACACAUUAUGACCAUAGAAACACUAACAAAUCUAUUGACUGCUUUUAAGCAAGUUUUGUUGGUUUUAGCCUCUUUUGGGAGAAAAUGGGUAUAAGUGGUGUCUAAACACUCCUAAUCCAUCUCUAACUCUUAUAAUUAGUCGAAUGCAUUGGAUUGUGAUACCUUUUGACCAUAAAAACACUAACAAAGCUAUUUAGUGCUUCUAAGCAAUAUUUUGGUUGUUAUAGCUUCUUUAGGGAGAAAAUGGGUAUAAUUAUUGUCUAAACACUCCUAAUCCAUCUCUAACUCUAUAAUUAGUCCAAUGCAUUGGAUUGUGAAACAUUUUGACUAUAGAAACACUAACAAAUCUAUUGACUGCUUUUAAGCAAAUUUUUUUGGUUUUAGCCUCUUUUGGGAGAAAAUAGGUAUAAGCGUUGUCUAAACACUCCUAACCCAUCUCUAACUCUAUAAUUAGUCCAAUGCAUUGGAUUGUGAUACAUUUUGACUAUAGAAAUACUAACAAAUCUAUUGAGUGCUUCUAAGCAAGUUUUGUUGGUUUUAGCCUCUUUUGGCCGAAAAUGGGUAUAAGUGUUAUCUAAACACUCCUAAUCCAUCUCUAACUCUUAUAAUUAGUCGAAUGCAUUGGAUUGUGAUACAUUUUGACCAUAUAAACACUAACAAAGCUAUUUAGUGCUUCUAAGCAAUAUUUUGGUUGUUAUAGCUUCUUUAGGGAGAAAAUGGGUAUAAUUAUUGUCUAAACACUCCUAAUCCAUCUCUAACUCUAUAAUUAGUCCAAUGCAUUGGAUUGUGAAACAUAUUGACUAUAGAAACACUAACAAAUCUAUUGACUGCUUUUAAGCAAAUUUUUUUGGUUUUAGCCUCUUUUGGGAGAAAAUAGGUAUAAGUGUUGUUUAAACACUCCUAAUCCAUCUCUAACUGUUAUAAUUAGUCAAAUGCAUUGGAUUGUGAUACAUUUUGACCAUAUAAACACUAACAAAGCUAUUUAGUGCUUCUAAGCAAUAUUUUGUUGGUUAUAGCUUCUUUAGGGAGAAAAUGGGUAUAAUUAUUUUCUAAACACUCCUAAUCCAUCUCUAACUCUAUAAUUAGUCCAAUGCAUUGGAUUGUGAAACAUUUUGACUGUAGAAACACUAACAAAUCUAUUGACUGCUUUUAAGCAAAUUUUUUUGGUUUUAGCCUCUUUUGGGAGAAAAUGGGUAAAAGUGUUGUCUAAACACUCCUAAUCCAUCUCUAACUGUUAUAAUUAGUCAAAUGCAUUGGAUUGUGAUACAUUUUGACCAUAUCGUCAAAAUCUAUUGAGUUGUUCUAAGCAAGUUUUGUUGGUUUUAACCUCUUUUGGGAGGAAAUGGGUAUAAGUAUUGUCUAAACACUUAUUAUCCAUCUCUAACUCUUAUAUUAGUCAAUUGCAUUGGAUUGUGACACAUUUUGACCAUAGAAACGCUAACAAAUCUAUUGACUGCUUCUAAGCAAGUUUUGCUUGUUUUAGCCUCUUUUGGGAGAAAAUGGGUAUACGUCUUGGCUAAAGACUCCUAAUCUAUCUCUAACUCUAUCAUUAGUCAAAUGCAUUUGAU